AGAGUUUGAUCCUGGCUCAGAACGAACGCUGGCGGCGUGUUUAAGACAUGCAAGUCGCACGGGAUUGAUUGAGUAGCAAUACAAGAUCAGUCUAGUGGCGCACGGGUGAGUAACAUGUGAAUUACAUGCCCUAUAGUGGGGAAUAGCCCAGGGAAACUUGGAUUAAUACCCCAUGGUAUCGCAAGAUUAAAGGUGGCCGCAAGGCUGUCGCUGAAGGAUUGGUUCGCGCCCUAUCAGCUUGUUGGUAAGGUAACGGCUCACCAAGGCUACGACGGGUACCUGGUCUGAGAGGACGAUCAGGCACACUGGAACUGAGACACGGUCCAGACACCUACGGGUGGCAGCAGUCGAGAAUAAUUCACAAUGGGGGCAACCCUGAUGGUGCAACGCCGCGUGGAGGAUGACGGUCUUCGGAUUGUAAACUCCUGUCAUCUGGGAGUAAGACCUGGCGAUGAAUAGUCGACAGGGUUGAUAGUACCAGAAGAGGAAGGGACGGCUAACUUCGUGCCAGCAGCCGCGGUAAUACGAAGGUCCCAAGCGUUGUUCGGAAUCACUGGGCGUAAAGGGAGCGUAGGCGGCGUGGUAAGUCAGAUGUGAAAUCCCGGGGCUCAACCCCGGAACUGCAUCCGAUACUGCCAUGCUAGAGUGAUGGAGAGGUAGCUGGAAUUCUUGGUGUAGCAGUGAAAUGCGUGGAGAUCAAGAGGAACACUCGUGGCGAAAGCGAGCUACUGGACAUUUACUGACGCUGAGGCUCGAAGGCUAGGGUAGCGAAAGGGAUUAGAUACCCCUGUAGUCCUAGC
rnacentral:rRNA from 1 species